AUUUAUAACUAAAUAAAAACUUAUAUAUGCUAGUAAGAUGAACUAGCGUUUCUACGUCUUGUCAAUCUUAAGAUACUAUAGGUUAUGAAAUUUGUAUG
rnacentral:ncRNA from 2 species